GCGUGGAGCAUGUGGCUUAAUUUGACUCAACGCGGGGAAUCUUACCGGGUCCGGACACACUGAGGAUUGACAGACAAUUGUCCUUUUGGCUUAAAAGACAAAAGAUAACAGAUCUUUCAUGAUUAUGUGAUGGGUGGUGCAUGGCCGUUCUUAGUUCGUGGAGUGAUCUGUCUGCUUAAUUGCGUUUCAAAUAUACUUUUUUUACAACGAGUCUACAAAGGAGUGGUUCAGUUACAACAGACAAUUAAUUCUUGUGUUUUGAACGUUUGGAAUGUACUCUAUUUGGCUCAAUUGAACGCAACGGACGUGAUCGCAAGUCCUUGUUGAACUUCAGUAUAUAUUGACUUUCCCCGUAGGAAGGGAUUGCCAAUAAUUGAAUGUUCGCUUUCUAUUGGUGUGUGAUCUCAAAAUUGCAUGUAUUUGUGAUGGCGAGUGAUCUAAUCCCUUAGGAAAAGCUCGGGCGCCCGU
rnacentral:rRNA from 1 species